UUAGUUUUAUUAUUAUUUUUUUUAAUAAAAAACCCAAAUUCCCUUCUCUUCUCCCUCACGCGACCGCAGACCCCCCUCGUUUUUCUUUCCCUGCUCGCCGCCGAACUCGCCAGUCGCCCGUCCUCCUCAGCCCAUCAUCCAGACCGUCGCUGCCUGAGCCCAAUAACUGGUCUCCACUGUCGCUCGCCGUGAUCAACCGUAGCCGUCGCGUCGACCCCCCUUCGGCCAAUCUCGCCAGCCAACUUCUCCUGCCCAGUGCCGCUCCUUUGCGCGUCAUACGAAGCCGACCAGCGCCGCUGCAGCAAUCGUUCCUUUUACCAGACGCAUCUGCACCCGAGCUACCGUCGCCAGACGCCACUCCUCCUUCAAUCGACCAGAUCUGUGUCGGAUUCACUGCCAGCCGUUAGCUCUGCGGACCGGAUUCCUCCUAUCGUCGCUGUCGUUGCUUGUGUCGUCAUCAGAUUUAUCAAUUUGGAUAAGAUUUCUGCUGUUUAGGGUUGUUUUCAGUUGAUUCUUGACUGCCCUUCCAACUUUGGAUUCAUGUUCUCGAAGGGUGGAUUCAAAGCCUUCCAAGAGUUGUAAGAAGGUUAAUUACUUGGAUUGAUUUGUGACCAAAUUUGAGAUAAAGGUAGAGAUGCACCGGUGAUUGACAAGCAGAAUUCGUGAUCGGGCCACUGGGACUAG